GGUCCUACGGGGGGCAGCAGUGGGGAAUAUUGGGCAAUGGGCGCAAGCCUGACCCAGCAACGCCGCGUGAAGGUAGAAGGCCCUCGGGUUGUAAACUUCUUUUGUCAGGGACGAAGCAAGUGACGGUACCUGACGAAUAAGCCACGGCUAACUACGUGCCAGCAGCCGCGGUAAUACGUAGGUGGCAAGCGUUAUCCGGAUUUACUGGGUGUAAAGGGCGUGUAGGCGGGGAAGCAAGUCAGA
rnacentral:rRNA from 1 species